GACUACCUAUUAAUAUCUGGUGUGAAAACAAUGCCAGUGAUGGAUGAAGAUGAAGAGCUGGAGAGAGAUGCUGAGUGUCUCUCCUUCAACAUGUGCAGAGCUCUGUUUAUGCAUCAUCCUCGUCAUCUGCCAGACAACUGGACCAUGAAUUCUUAUCCCACAGGAAGCAUGACUUGUCUCAUGUUGACCAUGUUCUGGUCAUGUUUGUCUUUUGGUAUUCUGAUGAGAAAAUAUGAUCCUCAUCAGAGACACAUUCCAGGAGGAGGGUUAUUACUUCCACCAGGACCAGUGGGUCACUGGAACACACGAUUCCCCAGAGCCGUUUCAAGUUUAGGGGAUGACUGGGGUGGCACGGUGGACUUGAAGCAGCCUGGUGGACUUGAAGCAGACAGGCGUUCACCUCCCAGCCGUCUCUGAUCCUGCAUUAAUGGCCCAGCUCAAUGCAGUCUCCAAACAAGUGUGUCCAGAUUUUCAUUUCUCUAGUAGACGCUGGAGAGAAGUUUGGCCUGCAGUACGUUGCGCGGUUGCCGCCAAGUUGGACUGGGACCAGCACAGGACCAAGACUCUGCCCCACCUCCUCCAAAGCAGCACAUCCACUGCCCAGUCAUCCUCAAUGGCACCACUCAAGCUGUUUCAGUUUCCUCCAUGCCCUCCUGUGGAUUGAAUCCCAGUACGACUCCCGGGUCUCAGACAGAUCCAGCAAAAGAAGUGUGGAGCCCGAGGUCCAACACAGCAGCGAGCCGAUCACGACGUGUGUCCCGAGGAUCGACGUCGGAGGCAGGCAGAACGAAGCAGGUACUCUGCGCACAAGGAGAGAGAAAGUUAGCGUAACGAGCCAGUGGAGAAUCUCAUGGCGCGGCAGUGGAGACUACCGGGGAAGAAGACGUAACAGACUGACAACCCAGGCCUGCAGGACCAGGGUUGAUAUGGAGCUGGUGACGAGCCAACAGGCCACAGCUGUGCACCGCUCGGGGGUGUGGCCAGCUUCUUGAGGUACACACCCACACAACAAGCACAUGGCAAAAACAACACAACCAGGGCAUGACAGACACAAGAGGUAAGGAGACUUGGGAGAACAGAGGUAAACACACAAUGGGUCAGACAGAGAUCCUGACAAGUAAUGGACGAGACUUCAGCAUUAGUUGGUAGGAACUGAAUUUCAAUCGCAUUUAUUUUUAUUAGCAGGGUAAUGGAUAUGUUGCAGUUUUCUUUUUUACAAGAUGUGACAAUAUUUAAUGUGUAAAUGAAUAAACUGAUGCAUAAACAUACCAGUUAGCCAUGAGUCAGUAUCUGAAAGUGGAAAGCGUGUUUUGACCCGGACAAGUGUGUGAAAUCAGGCUUUUCCUUCCUGUAGGUCAGAAUAACUUAUUGUACUCUUUGUCUUUUGUUUUCAUAGAAACACGUCGCCCGUCUCUGCCCCUGCUGUCCUCACCGACUGGACCUGUGAAGACCGGAGGGAGAGUGUUUGUGUUGGACCACAAGAGGUGGCCGGCCCCAUGAAGGCAGCUGACAACCUGCUCAAUGAACACCGUGGGAUGAAGGCCGUGCUCAAGCUUGUUUCUCAUUUUUAUUAUAUUAAUUAUUAUAUUGGUUUUAGAUAUUUGUGUUUUUGUGACCUUGCACUAUAAGCUCUGUGUUCAAUAUUUACUGUCUCUGUUGUGGUUAAUACAUAUAUUUCAUGGACUAAUAUCUACAUGUCUCAUUAAUAUGUGAAUCAUUAUAGUGAACAGUAAAGACAUAUUUCAUUUAAUUAGUUGCUAGACUCGCAGGUUUUUGACCGUAUGAGAGCAGACAGUGUCACAACGAAUGUUUUGAUUUUGAUUUUUGGGACAGACAAAUGGGUUUUGUAA